GGUGAGAUGGCCGAGCGGUCUAAGGCGCCAGACUAAGGUGUCAAGGAACGUUGAUCUUCAGGAUGUUCUGUUUCCUCAUCUGGUCUCUUCGGGGGCGGGAGUUCGAAUCUCCCUCUCAUCA